GUUUUAAGUACGUAUUAAUAAUGAUAAUAUGUAUAAAAGUCUUGACCAAUUACGUGCCAGCAGUCGCGGUAAUACGUAGGAGACGAGCAUUAUUCAUAUUAAAUAGGUUUAAAGGGUACCCAAACGGUCAAAAUAUCUUAAAUAAAAAGAAGUACUUGACUAGAGUUAUAUGUGAGGAGACCGUACUUGAGGUGGAGAGAUUAUAUUCUGUGAUACCAAGAGGACUGGUAAAGGCGCAGGCUGUCUUUUAUGUAAUAACUGACGUUGGAGGACGAAGGCAUCGGGCACGAACAGGAUUUGACACCCCAGUAGUCUUUGCAGACAAUGAUGAAUGCCAUGAACUAGAUUAUAAGUUUAGUUUUAUAAAUGAAAAUGAAAGCAUUUCACCUCAAGAGUAAUGCCGCAAGGC
rnacentral:rRNA from 4 species